AUAGAGUAUGAAUGAUUUGAAUUAGUUACUACAGAAGAGAAGGAGGAGAUUAAUUCAAUUCCAUCCACAAAAUUCUCAACCAACUCCGGGAAUUCUCCCUAUAAAAGGACCUCCCUCCCCA